CGUAACAAGGUAGCUGUAGGUGAACCUUCGGCUGGAUCAUUAACGAUUCAAAACAUAACCUUGUACAUUUAACUGCUUUGUGCAGAGUGUUUUCAAACACUUAUUCAAGUUUAAUGGCUUGCUAUUUUACUUGUAAUUUUUUUGUCAUAUUUACUAUGACCAACGGCUUGGAUUGGUUUCUGUGGAAGGUUGAGCAGUUGUGUUAAACGACCGUGACUGCGUAUGAUGCCGACCGAUAACUGGGCGCUUCGGCUGACCAGUGAGAAUUAAUGACUCCGAGAGAGCACCAAUCAAACAAUCAUUUAAUUAUUUUAUUCUACGAUUAUACGUUUAAGUUACUUCGGUGGACCACUUGGUUCACGGGUCGAUGGAAAACGCAGUGAAUUGCGAUAACAAGUACGAAUUACAGAUAUUAUGAGUGCCAUGUUUUUUGAAUGCAUAUUGCGCCGUUGGUUUUGCUCUUCGGCAUAUGUGAUUCGGGGUAUGUUUUAUACAACACAGCAGUUUGUUUGAUAUUGCUUAGGCUUUUUUGUUUACAAACUGUAUUAAUAUAAGCUUCGUGUUUCGCUUACAGUGUGCAUGUUGUUUAAGAGUUUUCGAGUAUUAGCUCGAACAAUUAUUGAAUAUACUGUGAAAUGUCUUUAUAGGCUUUUGCGUUUUACAAAUUACUUAUUUAAGCGUUUAGUUAAGUAUACUGGAUAUUGUUUUUUAUACUUUUAACUUUAUGUUUGACUAAGUGAGUGGCUUUUGUCAGGUAAAACGACAGUUAUAUUCUUUAGUUAAACUACCUGAAUUGCGUAUGAUUACCUGCUGAACUUAAGCAAUAUCAGUAAGCAGAGGAAAAGAAACAAACAUGGAUUCCCUUAGUAACGGCGAGUGAAA
rnacentral:rRNA from 1 species